CCUACGGGGGGCAGCAGUGGGGAAUAUUGGACAAUGGGGGCAACCCUGAUCCAGCCAUGCCGCGUGUGUGAAGAAGGCCCUCGGGUUGUAAAGCACUUUCAGUGAGGAAGAACGCCUGGUGGUUAAUACCCAUCAGGAAAGACAUCACUCACAGAAGAAGCACCGGCUAACUCCGUGCCAGCAGCCGCGGUAAUACGGAGGGUGCGAGCGCUAAUCGGAAUUACUGGGCGUAAAGCGCGCGUAGGUGGCUUGAUAAGCCGGUUGUGAAAGCCCCGGGCUCAACCUGGGAACGGCAUCCGGAACUGUCAAGCUAGAGUGCAGGAGAGGAAGGUAGAAUUCCCGGUGUAGCGGUGAAAUGCGUAGAGAUCGGGAGGAAUACCAGUGGCGAAGGCGGCCUUCUGGACUGACACUGACACUGAGGUGCGAAAGCGUGGGUAGCAAACAGGAUUAGAUACCCCAGUAGUC
rnacentral:rRNA from 1 species